AAACUUUCACAAGUUCCACCCAUCAUCUUCUUCGUCCUUCUUCAGCCCACCACCACCACCACCAUAAAGCACCACCCCCGCUCCGUCGCCACGUGGCGGGAAUUCGAAUUUGAUUCCUUCUGGUAGCGGAAAUCGGAUGCGGGAAAUUCUCCGCAUUUUCGCGUAAAAAUACAAAUUGGUGGGUGAAGGGGGCCAAUUUCGAGAACAAAAACAAAAUUGGGGAGUUGGAUGCCUGAAUUUAAUGCCUUGAGAGGGGUUUCAGCAUAAACAGGGGGGGUAUCGCGGUAUCGGGUUCGAUUCUAGGUUGUCAAAUUGGUACUGUUGCUUGAAAUUCCUUUUCAGCUCGUAGGGCAAUGGCUAUUUAAUACGAUGAUGCGUAUCGCCAAAGGGCGCCCAUUUUCACACUGCUUCUCCUUAUUUUCAUUACCCUCAGCCUCCUCCUCCUCCUCAUUUUCUUCGACGAUUUUGCAUUUUCGCUCUCGAGCUUUUUGUGCUCCGAUCGCCGACCAGUUUCGCAGUAGAAGUAAGGUUUAUCUUAGUAGAGGUACAUUUGCGCGCUAUUUUAUUUAUUAUUUAUUUAUAUGUUUGGAUGAUUUUUUUUUGUAGUACUGUGUAUAAAUUUAUUUUUCAGAGGUUUAUGACUGCUCCUGAUUGGAGUGAUGGUUAUUAUUAUUAAUUUUUUUGUGUACUUCAAAGAAAAAGAAAAGAAAAAAUUGGGUGUUCUAAUCAAAUUUUGUUUUGCAUGCCAUCUUCACCAGUUCUGCUUCUCAUUUACAAUGUAUAUGCAAAAUUACUUUAUGCUAUUAUGUUGGUUGUUUUGCAUUAACGAAAACUUAAUCAUAGAUUAUCUCUUCUGGGAAUGUUUUGUGAAUUAUGACGUUUCCUUUUAGUAAUGUUUCUGUAGAAGCUAAGAUCUGUAAAGAAGAAGUUCACUGAAUUUGAAUUCUCUAUGAUUGUUUCUGUUCUUGGUGAAUUCGAGAAGGACGAAGAAGAUGAUGGGUGGAACUUGUGAAAGUUUCAAAUUAAGUUCAAUUGAGUCCCUGGUACUUUCAAUUUCACCCCUUAUAAUAUUUUCAAGUAAAAAGACGAAAAAGCCCUUGUAUUUUCGCAUGUGCACCGCGCGUGCGUUGAAAAAUGAGAAUAUUCGCCGGAAUAUUCCCUCCAGGUGGUUAUGUGCGUCAAAAAUGAAUGUUUGGGUGCCGCCGUGCAACUUUUUUUAGUUGAGGUGGGAAAGUGCAAAAACGGGCAAAGUCUAGGUGGGAAAAUGCUA
rnacentral:lncRNA from 1 species